CAGCUCUUCGAGUGGUGUCCAUGAUUAUUGAGCUUAAAGCGUUCGUAGCCUGUUUGGUAGGUUCCUGCUCAAAUCCGGUCGCUUAACGGUCGGACUGGUAGGAAUACCGCCUUACUUGGGGACGGGAGACGGCGACGGUAUUCCGUAGGUAAGGGUGAAAUCUAAUGAUCUACGGAGGACCACCAGUGGCGAAGGCGGUCGUCGAGAACGUGCCCGACGGUGAGGGACGAAACCCAGGGGAGCAAAUCGGAUUAGAUACCCGCGUAGUCC
rnacentral:rRNA from 1 species